CCACUGCUGGGCACCUAAUUACGCUCACUGAGGAUCAAAGGAGUAAUGGUGCGUCUGUCUCAGAAAAUGCACAUGGCCAGAUUUUGGAGAUCCGGACCCAAGAGUUCAACAUCUGAAGCAAGACAUUUGACAGCAAGAUCUAUGAAAUUGUUUUAGUUGCAUCCGAGCCUCAAGAAGAGAGAGGAACACCAACGUCAUGUAGCAGCACUGGGGGAAAGAGCAUGGGUAACAGGGCAUCUGUAACAGCAGCUGGGAUUCGCAUUUACACUUGUAUUAAUGGACACAGACAUAUCAUAAGGAGCAUUUUUAACGUCCACAUAGUGCUGUGCCUUCAAAGUACAGGCAUGCAAAAUACAAAAAAAAAAA